GGGCGGGUGGCGGAACAGGUAGACGCGCACGGUUCAGGUCCGUGUGUCCGAAAGGACGUGGGGGUUCAAAUCCCCCCUCGCCCACAA
rnacentral:tRNA from 1 species